rnacentral:rRNA from 1 species
UACGGGGGGGGCAAGCGUUGUUCGGAAUUACUGGGCGUAAAGGGCUCGUAGGUGGCCAACUAAGUCGGACGUGAAAUCCCUCGGCCUAACCGGGGAACUGCGUCUGAUACUGGAUGGCUUGAGUUCGGGAGAGGGAUGCGGAAUUCCAGGUGUAGCGGUGAAAUGCGUAGAUAUCUGGAGGAACACCGGUGGCGAAGGCGGCAUCCUGGACCGACGACUGACGCUGAGGAGCGAAAGCCAGGGGAGCAAACGGG